AUCCAGCGAACUUGGCAGAGAUGCCUGUGCCUUCGGAACGCUGAGACAGGUGCUGCAUGGCUGUCGUCAGCUCGUGUUGUGAAAUGUUGGGUUAAGUCCCGNAACGAGCGCAACCCUUAUCCUUUGUUGCCAGCGAUUCGGUCGGGAACUCAAAGGAGACUGCCGGUGAUAAACCGGAGGAAGGUGGGGAUGACGUCAAGUCAUCAUGGCCCUUACGAGUAGGGCUACACACGUGCUACAAUGGCGCAUACAAAGAGAAGCGACCUCGCGAGAGCAAGCGGACCUCAUAAAGUGCGUCGUAGUCCGGAUCGGAGUCUGCAACUCGACUCCGUGAAGUCGGAAUCGCUAGUAAUCGUGGAUCAGAAUGCCACGGUGAAUACGUUCCCGGGCCUUGUACACACCGCCCGUCACACCAUGGGAGUGGGUUGCAAAAGAAGUAGGUAGCUUAACCUUCGGGAGGGCGCUUACCACUUUGUGAUUCAUGACUGGGGUGAAGUCGUAACAAGGUAGGCGUAGCGAG
rnacentral:rRNA from 1 species